rnacentral:rRNA from 1 species
CUGAUGCAGCGACGCCGCGUGAGGGAUGACGGCCUUCGGGUUGUAAACCUCUUUCAGCAGGGAAGAAGCGAAAGUGACGGUACCUGCAGAAGAAGCGCCGGCUAACUACGUGCCAGCAGCCGCGGUAAUACGUAGGGCGCAAGCGUUGUCCGGAAUUAUUGGGCGUAAAGAGCUCGUAGGCGGCUUGUCACGUCGGGUGUGAAAGCCCGGGGCUUAACCCCGGGUCUGCAUUCGAUACGGGCUAGCUAGAGUGUGGUAGGGGAGAUCGGAAUUCCUGGUGUAGCGGUGAAAUGCGCAGAUAUCAGGAGGAACACCGGUGGCGAAGGCGGAUCUCUGGGCCAUUACUGACGCUGAGGAGCGAAAGCGUGGGGAGCGAACAGGAUUAGAUACCCUGGUAGUCCACGCCGUAAACGGUGGGAACUAGGUGUUGGCGACAUUCCACGUCGUCGGUGCCGCAGCUAACGCAUUAA